rnacentral:rRNA from 1 species
AACAAACGCUGGCGGCGUGCCUAAUACAUGCAAGUCGAACGGGGAAAGCUUUCGGGCGAGUACUAGUGGCGCACCGGUGAGUAACGCGUGGAUAAUCUGCCUUAGAGUGGGGGAUAACUAGUCGAAAGAUUAGCUAAUACCGCAUAAGACCACAAGAACUGCGGUUCAAGGGGUCAAAGGUUUUUCGCUCUAAGAUGAGUCUGCGUAAGAUUAGCUAGUUGGUAGGGUAACGGCCUACCAAGGCGACGAUCUUUAACUGGUCUGAGAGGAUGAUCAGUCACACUGGAACUGAGACACGGUCCAGACUCCUACGGGAGGCAGCAGUAGGGAAUAUUGCACAAUGGAGGAAACUCUGAUGCAGCGACGCCGCGUGAGUGAUGAAGGCCUUCGGGUCGUAAAGCUCUGUCGCAGGGGAAUAACACAAUGAAUGUACCCUGUAAGAAAGGAUCGGCUAACUUCGUGCCAGCCGCCGCGGUAAUAC